GUACUCUCUUUGGCAGCACAUAUACUAAAAUUGGAACAAUACAGAGAUUAACAUGGUCCCUGCACAAGGAUGACAUGCAAAUUUGUGAAGUGUUCCAUAUUUAA